rnacentral:rRNA from 1 species
CGGCGUAAAGCGUGGUUAAGAAAACAAGAGAUAUAUGGCCGAACAGCUUCAAAGCAGUUAUACGCAUUCGAAACCACGAAGAACACCCACGAAAGUUGCCCUAAAAAACUCUGAUUCCACGAAAACCAUAGAACAAACUGGGAUUAGAUACCCCACUAUGUAUGGUCGUUAACAUUGAUGGUUUUAUACCCAAACCAUCCGCCCGGGGACUACGAGCAAUAGCUUAAAACCCAAAGGACUUGGCGGUGCUUUAGACCCCCCUAGAGGAGCCUGUUCUAGAACUGAUAACCCCCGUUUAACCUCACCACCCUUUGUUUAACCCGCCUAUAUACCACCGUCGUCAGCUUACCCUGUGAAGGAAAAAUAGUAAGCAUAAAUGGCAAAGCCAAAAACGUCAGGUCGAGGUGUAGCGUAUGGGGUGGGAAGAAAUGGGCUACAUUCUCUACUACAGAGAAUACGAAUUGUAAUUUGAAAAAAUUACCUAAAGGAGGAUUUAGCAGUAAGUAAGGAAUAGAGUGCCCUACUGAAAACGGCCCUGAAGCGCGCACACACCGCCCGUCACUCUCUCCAAAUAAACCCUAGAAAUUACCUAAAAUGC